AGAUUGUCCAGGUGCUUGUCCUUGAUGGUGUCUGUCUCCAUGGAGGAUAGUGGAUUCUGGAGCCAGGAAGCCAGAGAGUAAGCAGGGAAUGAGUGUUUUGGUUUUAACCCAUAUAUGCUGGGUUUAAUGUGGGGAAACUGAUAUCAGGGUUGGUAUCAUUCCCUUUUGCCCAGCUUAGAAUCUAUGACUCAAAAUUAUAUUUACCCAACUGUAAAUAGUUUCAUUUACCUUGUCACUCUUUUAUUUCUUUGUUUUUCAGAACCUUACUUGCAAAUAAAACCUAGUCAUUAACUUUCUCACCUGUGUCUAUCAACCUAGGCAAGGCCAUAAAAAAUUACAAAAACAGAUUGGUGUCAUUAGUAAGUUAAGAUUUUCUGCCUCAGACUCUAAAAAUCACCUGAAACUGUUUCAAAAAACUAUGAUGAAUUCAUGUUUCUACAUUCCACAGUGAUUUUCUUCCAAUUUCGUUUUGACGAACUGGGAACCCCUCAUCUUCCCAGAUCUACAAACCUAUCUUCUUUAGAAGCCUGAACCUCUUUUUCUCCUGUUUCUCUGGGAGUAGUUUCCCUCCACCUGUGAGACUACAAGUCUCUAUACCCCAUUAAGGGAAGGAAAGUAGGCUGAUCCCGUUGGCAGGCCGAGGGAAGGAAACGGAUCUAGCCUAGAUUCUGAGACUUCAAUGUAUAGAUAACAAUUGAAAACCGUGGCUUGUUUGUGAAGUAGAAAAUGAAGCAAUGACAUUAGAUGAUUCCAAAAAGAAGAUUAAUCAAAGUGGAGAAAAGGACAAGGGAAAAAUGAGAAAAAGCCACAUUUUAAAAGGUUUUUGAGAAGGAAGUUGUUAAGUCACAAAUACUCUGGUGACUCUGAGAACUGAAAAGUGUCCAUUGGAUUUUCCACUCUUGGCGGGACAAUUCUGAAAAUUGCUCUACCCACUUCCUCAGAGGUUUCCCACUGGGAUGGAGCCUACCACGAAACAGGUAGCAGAUCGCUGCAGGGACACCAAAAUUGGAGGAAUUUUGCUUGCUGCUAGAGAAACAGGGAUGUUUACUAACUUGUCUGGUUAACCGUUUCUCUCCAUUAAAAAUACAUAGGCUGGAUAAAAUUAAGAGAACUGGUUAAUGAGCAUAAUCUGUCAAUAAAUUAAGGCGAGAAAUUGCCAACUAUCAGGCACAAUUCUAUUUGGGAAAUUGUAUCUGUUUAUUUUAGGAUAUAACAUUUGGCAAGUGAAAGAGCUAAUCCAUACGAUGUAUCUUUGUGGAAGGGUAUUUGCUACUGAAAAGAAUUGGUUCCAGCUGGCUAAGCAUUUUGAUAUGUCCUUGAAGGCUCAUACCCAUUGCUGUAUUAGAAGAACAUGUUAGCUAUUAGCAUCUAAAUUUUAAAUGGAUGGCUAAAGUAGGUUUGUGAGUGAGAAAGCCUAGGAUACAAGAGGUAUUGUUUUCCAUGUCAAGGAAAUUUCUACAUCAAUAGAAUAUUUAGUUAAUUCCAAAUUUGCUGGACAAUCCAAAACCUUUUCGAUUCACAGAUUUGAUCUUAAGUUCAAAUUUCCAAGUUUCUCAAAUUUCCAGGACUCUUAGUUUAAUAAAUGACAGUAAUAUAGCACAGGAGAGAAAAUCCUCAGUCCUAGAGUUAGAAAGACCUGGGCCCAUUCUCAUCUCAUUUGUUAGUGAUAGGUCAUACAUCAAGUUAUUUACUCUAAGUUUUAGUCUCCUUAUCUAUGAAAUAGUGAUAAUUACAGGGCCUAUUUCAUGGGGCUGUAAGAAUAAAAUGAAAUAAUGGACAUAAAGUGCUUAAGACACGGUAAGCUCUCCAUUGUUAACCCUGUUUUUAUUUGUUAUCAAUAUAUUAUCCUGGGACAAAGGAAGGCAAGGAUUACGAAAACUGAUUC
ensembl:lncRNA